GAUGAACGCUGGCGGCGUGCCUAAUACAUGCAAGUCGAGCGAACAGACGAGGAGCUUGCUCCUCUGAGGUUAGCGGCGGACGGGUGAGUAACACGUGGAUAACCUACCUAUAAGACUGGGAUAACUUCGGGAAACCGGAGCUAAUACCGGAUAAUAUAUUGAACCGCAUGGUUCAAUAGUGAAAGACGGUUUUGCUGUCACUUAUAGAUGGAUCCGCGCCGCAUUAGCUAGUUGGUAAGGUAACGGCUUACCAAGGCAACGAUGCGUAGCCGACCUGAGAGGGUGAUCGGCCACACUGGAACUGAGACACGGUCCAGACUCCUACGGGAGGCAGCAGUAGGGAAUCUUCCGCAAUGGGCGAAAGCCUGACGGAGCAACGCCGCGUGAGUGAUGAAGGUCUUCGGAUCGUAAAACUCUGUUAUUAGGGAAGAACAAAUGUGUAAGUAACUAUGCACGUCUUGACGGUACCUAAUCAGAAAGCCACGGCUAACUACGU
rnacentral:rRNA from 1 species